CGCGAGAAGAUUUAUCCUGGCGAUGCACAUUACCGGGUAGAAGGUCCAGUGCUGGUAGCUGAUGAAGAAUUUCGAGGCGGCAUCGAACGCCAGGGUCCGUUGGUAGAAGUAGGACCAUAUGUUGCCGAACAGCUUGGGGGAGACGGCAAAGAGCGGCAUGUGCUGGAGGUCCGGGUCAUGGUCCAGGCUGUUGCAGGCGAUGUGGUGCGUGUUGUGGUUACACUUCCACCAGGCGAUGCUGAGGCCGGUGAGGCAGUUCCCGGAGAGCACCUGCACGACGCGGUCGAGGACCGGAUGGCCGGUGAUGCGGUGGUGGCCCGAGUCGUGGCCCAUCCAGCCGGACUGGAUCCAGACGAAGCCAAUGAGACCCCCCGCGAGGAGGUGCGCCCAGGCGCUGGCGCAUGCGAGGACGAGGUACAGCGCGGCGUAGAAGAGGACGGC
rnacentral:misc_RNA from 1 species